AGCGAACGCUGGCGGCAGGCUUAACACAUGCAAGUCGAACGGGCGUAGCAAUACGUCAGUGGCAGACGGGUGAGUAACGCGUGGGAACGUACCUUUUGGUUCGGAACAACCCAGGGAAACUUGGGCUAAUACCGGAUAAGCCCUUACGGGGAAAGAUUUAUCGCCGAAAGAUCGGCCCGCGUCUGAUUAGCUUGUUGGUGAGGUAACGGCUCACCAAGGCGACGAUCAGUAGCUGGUCUGAGAGGAUGAUCAGCCACAUUGGGACUGAGACACGGCCCAAACUCCUACGGGAGGCAGCAGUGGGGAAUAUUGGACAAUGGGCGCAAGCCUGAUCCAGCCAUGCCGCGUGAGUGAUGAAGGCCCUAGGGUUGUAAAGCUCUUUUGUGCGGGAAGAUAAUGACGGUACCGCAAGAAUAAGCCCCGGCUAACUUCGUGCCAGCAGCCGCGGUAAUACGAAGGGGGCUAGCGUUGCUCGGAAUUACUGGGCGUAAAGGGUGCGUAGGCGGGUCUUUAAGUCAGGGGUGAAAUCCUGGAGCUCAACUCCAGAACUGCCUUUGAUACUGAGGAUCUUGAGUUCGGGAGAGGUGAGUGGAACUGCGAGUGUAGAGGUGAAAUUCGUAGAUAUUCGCAAGAACACCAGUGGCGAAGGCGGCUCACUGGCCCGAUACUGACGCUGAGGCACGAAAGCGUGGGGAGCAAACAGGAUUAGAUACCCUGGUAGUCCACGCCGUAAACGAUGAAUGCCAGCCGUUAGUGGGUUUACUCACUAGUGGCGCAGCUAACGCUUUAAGCAUUCCGCCUGGGGAGUACGGUCGCAGGAUUAAAACUCAAAGGGAUUGACGGGGGCCCGCACAAGCGGUGGAGCAUGUGGUUUAAUUCGACGCAACGCGCAGAACCUUACCAGCCCUUGACAUGUCCAUGACCGGUCGCAGAGAUGUGACCUUCUCUUCGGAGCAUGGAGCACAGGUGCUGCAUGGCUGUCGUCAGGUCGUGUCGUGAGAUGUUGGGUUAAGUCCCGCAACGAGCGCAACCCCCGUCCUUAGUUGCUACCAUUUAGUUGAGCACUCUAAGGAGACUGCCGGUGAUAAGCCGCGAGGAAGGUGGGGAUGACGUCAAGUCCUCAUGGCCCUUAUGGGUAGGGCUUCACACGUAAUACAAUGGCGCGUACAGAGGGUUGCCAACCCGCGAGGGGGAGCUAAUCUCAGAAAGCGCGUCGUAGUCCGGAUCGGAGUCUGCAACUCGACUCCGUGAAGUAGGAAUCGCUAGUAAUCGCGGAUCAGCAUGUCGCGGUGAAUACGUUCCCGGGUCUUGUACACACCGCCCGUCACACCAUGGGAGUGGGUUCCACCAGAAGCAGGUAGUCUAACCGCAAGGAGGGCGCCUGCCACGGUGAGAUUCAUGACUGGGGUG
rnacentral:rRNA from 1 species